UACGGGGGGAGCAAGCGUUGUUCGGAUUUACUGGGCGUAAAGGGCGCGUAGGCGGCCAGCACAAGUCAGUUGUGAAAUCUCCGAGCUUAACUCGGAAAGGUCAACUGAUACUGUGCGGCUAGAGUGCGGAAGGGGCAACUGGAAUUCUUGGUGUAGCGGUGAAAUGCGUAGAUAUCAAGAGGAACACCUGAGGUGAAGACGGGUUGCUGGGCUGACACUGACGCUGAGGCGCGAAAGCUAGGGUAGCAAACGGG
rnacentral:rRNA from 1 species